GCAAUUAAUAUGAAACACAGGGCCCAUGCAAAGGCCGAACGGUGCUUCCAACUCAUGAAACAGGGAGGUGUGUAAACAAUAACCAGGUGCAGAUUGGAAAAAUGGGCCCACGGGGAAGGAAGGCCCAAUGCGCAUAUGAGAGGGGGAGAGAGUCAUUCACUCAGAUGAAAUUCAAAUGGGAAAGAAACAAACAUGUGCGUGCUUCAAACCUCAAUUCACCUUCAGACCUAAGAGCCACCGUCUCCGCCAUGCCAGAGGUCGCCUUCGGCGGUGGCGGAGAGCUAAAUCUCUAAAACCAUAUAACAUCAACAGAUUCAUCUUCUUCUCUCCGAUCCAUAUCCAUGAUCAAUUUUCCCUAAUUCAACUUCUAAAGCCUAAACUAAUGAAAAUAAUUGAAUAACCCUAAUCACGAAAAAUAUAAAUUAAAUGCUUAUCACAGGGAAUCAAAGCCCAAGAGGUUGAGGCUUUGAUUCCCCACACCUUUGUUCACAUCCCAAUAACAAGGUUGACACAAGAAGAUGGAAUAGGAACUUACGUUUCCGGAGACGACGAAGUUAACGACGGAAUUCUGGAUGGUGCAAGAAUGACUUAUGAUGGAAAUCAAGGCUUGCAAAAAGUGAGUUAGGUUUGAAGAAAAUUAGUGAAGGAAAGAAAACUCAAGAAAAUGAAAUCAUGGUGAAUCAUGGAAGAAUAAACCAAGAAUUUAGGGUGUGGGAUGUAAAAUGGGGUUAGUUGACUUUGGUCAACUAGUUGACCAAAAAGUCAACAGUUGACCAAAAGUCAACUUAGGUAGAAAAUUUUGUAAUCAUUUUCUAUGUAUGGACAUUUAGAUAUGGUUGUAUGAAGUGAUACUAUGUAUUAAAUGAAAUGGAAUUGAAAUUGAAAGAAAUGAAAUAAGAAUGAAAUGAAUAAUCCACCUUGACA